CCUACGGGUGGCAGCAGUGGGGAAUAUUGGGCAAUGGGCGCAAGCCUGACCCAGCAACGCCGCGUGAAGGAAGAAGGCUUUCGGGUUGUAAACUUCUUUUCUCAGGGACGAAGCAAGUGACGGUACCUGAGGAAUAAGCCACGGCUAACUACGUGCCAGCAGCCGCGGUAAUACGUAGGUGGCAAGCGUUAUCCGGAUUUACUGGGUGUAAGGGGCGUGUAGGCGGGGACGUAAGUCAGAUGUGAAAACCCCGGGCUCAACCUGUGGCCUGCAGUUGAAACUUGGUUUCUUGAGUACUGGAGAGGCAGACGGAAGUCCUGGUGGAGCGGUGAAAUGCGUAGAUAUUAGGAGGAACACCAGUGGCGAAGGCGGUCUGCUGGACAGCAACUGACGCUGAGGCGCGAAAGCGUGGGGAGCAAACAGGAUUAGAUACCCUUGUAGUC
rnacentral:rRNA from 1 species